rnacentral:rRNA from 1 species
CGGAGGAUCCAAGCGUUAUCCGGAAUCAUUGGGUUUAAAGGGUCCGUAGGCGGGCUUAUAAGUCAGUGGUGAAAGCCCAUCGCUCAACGAUGGAACGGCCAUUGAUACUGUAGAUCUUGAAUUAUUAGGAAGUAACUAGAAUAUGUAGUGUAGCGGUGAAAUGCUUAGAGAUUACAUGGAAUACCAAUUGCGAAGGCAGGUUACUACUAAUGGAUUGACGCUGAUGGACGAAAGCGUGGGUAGCGAACAGGAUUAGAUACCCUGGUAGUCCACGCCGUAAACGAUGGAUACUAGCUGUUCGGAGCAAUCUGAGUGGCUAAGCGAAAGUGAUAAGUAUCCCACCUGGGGAGUACGUUCGCAAGAAUG